UCCCCCUCUGAGCUCUUCCAUGACCAGAUAUGGGAGAACAGAGACUUUUUGCUGGGACCACUCUCCCUCCACCAGGAGGACUUGGUUCAACCUGGGCAGGGUUGAUCCAGCUUCUCCCACUCCUUCCCCCUGCUCCUCCACACUCUUCCUGGAACAAGUUUUUCCUAGCCCAGGGAGCCAAGCAGACCCACCAGCAGUCCAAGCCUGUUUCUGUCUUUCCCAAAGCUCACCCAGGUCCAACACUGGCUCUUAGAGCGGGGGAUGGAGCCGGGAAAUUUCUCCCAGAAUAAGAGGAAUUUUGGAGCCAGGUGGGAUCAGCUCCAAAAUCUCUGGAAUUUGGCGGUGGCAGGAGAGGGACCGACAGCGCCGAGCCAUUUCUAAGCAGCGUUUUUAAAAAACAAAGUGAAAUCUUCGCCAGAAAAUGUUAUUUCGAUCCCUUUGGCAACCACGAGUCGUUUCGAAGCGACGCUUUGUGUUCGGAAUGGGACCCAAAUCUAAAGGAGCUGGGAAUGGAGCCUCUGGGAAAGCUGCUGGGAGCUGGGAUGGAGCCACAGCGAGGGCUGGUGGGUUUGGCAGCCGGUGGGGCUGGAUCCACACCCCCACGGUAUCCCCCCACUGUGGGACCUCAGGGGGUGCUGGGGGUGCCACCACCCCUGGGGACAAGCGGCUCCCCGUACCCCUGUGCCCGAGGAGCCGAGGUCCUGUGACCUUCCCCCUUUGCUCUGCACUGUCCCGGCCCCACACUCCACAUCCCCUGGGAAAGGGCAGAAUCCCUCCCAUGGGGGAUCCCAGCCUGGACCGGCAGGGAGGAGAGGGGACAUCAGAGGGGACAUCAGUGCUUGGGGCCGGGAGGGACAUGGUGGAGAACCGGGAGGGCCCAUCAGGGACAAGGCUCCGGGCCCAGGGGCGAUGCUGUCACCCGGAGCCAGCAGAGACAUCAGCAGAGGACAGGAGGGCACCGGGACGGGCUCCGGCCCCAGGUGGGAGCACCCGAGGACACCGCAGGCACCGGGGGGGCUGGGAAUGGCCGGGGGAGAGGAGCUCGCCCGCACUUUGCUGCAUGACGGUGAUUAAGUCGCUUCCCUUCGUUAUGGUCCCUCGGGGAGGUGUUAACCAGCUGCUAAUAAAGACGGAUGGUUCUGAAGUGGCGUCUCCGGAGCUUUUGUAUCCAUGGAAUUUCGGGAAAAGCCACCGGGGUGCCCGGAGCCACCGGGCGGACCCGCGGCACCGCUGGGGACAAAUCUGCGGGUGCCGAGGGGGGCACCGGGGGGAUCUGGGGGGGGUCGGAGGAUGCCGAGAGCCGGAGCAGCUCCGGGGAGGAAAAGGGCGACCCGAAGGGCUGCGGGGGGCGGGAAGGCAGCGGGAAGAGGAGAAAUCCAGCAGCAACUGCCCAUUAAAAUUCAUGAAAGCUGUUAAAAAGCAGAGCGCAGCGCGAGCUCCCGGCUGCUGCUGACAAAGCCGGCGAGGGAGGCGGUGGUGCCAGCUCCGUGCAGUGGCAAAUUCGGGGUUCAGCCCCCCACUUCCCAAACC
rnacentral:lncRNA from 1 species